rnacentral:rRNA from 1 species
CUACGGGUUGCUCCAGUGAGGAAUAUUGGUCAAUGGCCGAGAGGCUGAACCAGCCAUCCCGCGUGCAGGAUGACGGCCCUAUGGGUUGUAAACUGCUUUUCUACGCCAAGAAAUCUGAUUACGUGUAAUUAGUUGACGGUAGCGUAGGAAUAAGCAUCGGCUAACUCCGUGCCAGCAGCCGCGGUAAUACGGAGGAUGCAAGCGUUAUCCGGAUUCAUUGGGUUUAAAGGGUGCGCAGGCGGGCUUGUAAGUCAGUGGUGAAAUACUGCCGCUUAACGGUAGAACUGCCAUUGAUACUGCAAGUCUUGAAUAUGGUUGAGGUAGGCGGAAUGUGUUGUGUAGCGGUGAAAUGCAUAGAUAUGGCACAGAACGCCGAUUGCGAAGGCAGCAUACUAAGCCAUUAUUGACGCUGAGGCACGAAAGCGUGGGGAGCGAACAGGAUUAGAUACCCCAGUAGUC